rnacentral:tRNA from 1 species
GGGCGAUUAGCUCAGUUGGUUCAGAGCACUACCUCGACAAGGUAGGGGUCAACGGUUCGAGCCCGUUAUUGCCCA